rnacentral:rRNA from 1 species
CCUACGGGAGGCUGCAGUGAGGAAUAUUGGUCAAUGGGCGGAAGACUGAACCAGCCAUGCCGCGUGCAGGAAGAAGCAUCUAUGGUGUGUAAACUGCUUUUGUACGGGAAGAAACACUCCUACGUGUAGGAGCUUGACGGUACCGUAAGAAUAAGGAUCGGCUAACUCCGUGCCAGCAGCCGCGGUAAUACGGAGGAUCCAAGCGUUAUCCGGAAUCAUUGGGUUUAAAGGGUCCGUAGGCGGUUGAAUAAGUCAGUGGUGAAAUCCGGCAGCUUAACUGUCGAACUGCCAUUGAUACUGUUUAACUUGAAUUACUGUGAAGUAACUAGAAUAUGUAGUGUAGCGGUGAAAUGCUUAGAUAUUACAUGGAAUACCAAUUGCGAAGGCAGGUUACUAAUGGUUUAUUGACGCUGAUGGACGAAAGCGUGGGGAGCGAACAGGCUUAGAUACCCCGGUAGUC